CUGCGAUGAUUUAGUCUGGCUGUGUAGAUAACUACGUGAAAAUGUAGCUAAGGGAAGGCAGAAUAAGACGCAGGACUAUCAGUUAGUUGGUAGUGUAAUGGACUACCAAGACAGUGACGGUUGACGGGAAAUUAGGGUUUUGUACCGGAGAGGGAGCCUGAGAGAUUGCUCCCACGUCCAAGGACGGCAGCAGGCGCGAAAAUUGCCCACUCUUUGCAGGAGGCAGUUAUGAGACGUGAAGAUGAGUAUCUUGUAAAGAGGGAUAGGAGAAUUGGAGGGCAAGUUUGGUGCCAGCAGCCGCGGUAAUACCGACUCCAAGAGUGUGUAUGAGAGAUGCUGCAGUUAAAAAGUCCGUAGUCAUAGAAGGGCAAAGAGAGAUGCGAGGUCUCACAGUGCGAUGAUGGAGGAGCCAAUGGGGAACAUAGUAUACCAGGGCGAGAGAUGAAAUGCCAAGACCCCUGGUGGACUGAGCGAGGCGAAGGCGAUGUUCUUGUAGGCAUUCGGUGAUCAAGGACGAAGGCUGGAGUAUCGAAAGUGAUUAGAUACCGCAGUAGUUCCAGCAGUAAAAGAUGCCGACAUGCUCAUUGGACACAGUGGGCAGGGAGAAAUCUUAGAGUUCGGGCUCUGGGGAUAGUAUGCUCGCAAGGGUGAAAAUUAAAGAAAUUGACGGAGCUACACCACAAGGAGUGGAUUGUGCGGCUUAAUUUGACUCAACGCGAGGAAACUUACCAGGGCCAAGUAUUGUGUAGAAACGAGCAAUACAGGAGUGGUGCAUGGUCGUUGGAAAUUGAUGGGAUGACUUUGACCUUAAAUGGUUGAAUGAGUGAGAUCUUUUGGACAUGUUCCGCACGGAACAGGAAGGAAAAGGCUAUAACAGAUCCGAGAUGCCCUCAGAUGCCCUGGGCUGCACGCGCAAUACAAUAGCAGGUAGAGAGAGAGACAGGAAGGUGCUCAGAUGGACUAUGUGCUGUAAGGCACAUACGAAAGAGGAA
rnacentral:rRNA from 1 species